ACCCUGUAGGGCUGAUUGUUGAGGUCUUGCUACUUCUCUCUCCAUCUCCUCAGUCUUCACUGUCAUUGUGGUUUCACCCUGUAGGGCUGAUUGUUGAGGUCUUGCUACUUCUCUCUCCAUCUCCUCAGUCUUCACUGUCAUUGUGGUUUCACCCUGUAGGGCUGAUUGUUGAGGUCUUGCUACUUCUCUCUCCAUCUCCUCAGUCUUCACUGUCAUUGUGGUUUCACCCUGUAGGGCUGAUUGUUGAGGUCUUGCUACUUCCCUCUCCAUCUCCUCAGUCUUCACUGUCAUUGUGGUUUCACCCUGUAGGGCUGAUUGUUGAGGUCUUGCUACUUCCCUCUCCAUCUCCUCAGUCUUCACUGUCAUUGUGGUUUCACCCUGUAGGGCUGAUUGUUGAGGUCUUGCUACUUCCCUCUCCAUCUCCUCAGUCUUCACUGUCAUUGUGGUUUCACCCUGUAGGGCUGAUUGUUGAGGUCUUGCUACUUCCCUCUCCAUCUCCUCAGUCUUCACUGUCAUUGUGGUUUCACCCUGUAGGGCUGAUUGUUGAGGUCUUGCUACUUCUCUCUCCAUCUCCUCAGUCUUCACUGUCAUUGUGGUUUCACCCUGUAGGGCUGAUUGUUGAGGUCUUGCUACUUCCCUCUCCAUCUCCUCAGUCUUCACUGUCAUUGUGGUUUCACCCUGUAGGGCUGAUUGUUGAGGUCUU